GUUGAUCCUGCCGGAGGCUAUUGCUAUCCGAAUCCGACUAAGCCAUGCUAGUUUUGGAAUCAAUUUUGGUUCCAGGGCGGAAAGCUCAGUAAUAUGUGGUUAAUCUGCCCUUAGGUUCAGGAUAAUCUUGGGAAACUGAGGCUAAUACUGGAUAGGCAAGGGACGCUGGAAUGCCCCCUUGCUUAAGGAUUUAUCGCCUAAGGAUGGGACUGCAGCAGAUUAGGUUUUUAUGAGAGUAAUGUCCUCAUAAGCCGAUAAUCUGUAUGGGCUUUGAGAGAAGAAACCCGGAGAUGGAUUCUGAGACAAGAAUCCAGGCCCUACGGGGCGCAGCAGGCGCGAAACAUUCCCAAUGACCGCAAGGUUGAGGAUGGGAUUCGGAGUGCUACUUCUUUAAGGAGUAGCUUUUGUUAAGUUUAAACCGCUUAUCGAAUAAGUGGUGGGUAAGACGGGUGCCAGCCGCCGCGGUAAUACCCGCGCCACAAGUGAUAGUCUCGAUUAUUGGGUUUAAAGCGUCCGUAGCCGGUUCGUUAAGUUCUUAGUGAAAUACCAUAGCUAACUAUGGUGCUUGCUAGGGGUACUGACAGGCUAGAGAACGGGAGAAGUCUGGGGUAUUCCUGGGGUAGGGGUAAAAUCCUGUAAUCCUAGGAGGACCACCUGUGGCGAAGGCGCCAGACUAGAACGAUUCUGACGGUGAGGGACGAAAGCUUGGGGAGCAAAGGGGAUUAGAUACCCCCGUAGUCCUAGCUGUAAACGAUGCCCACUAGUUGUUGGAGUUCUUACGGGGGACUUCAAUGUCGUAGCGAAAGCGUUAAGUGGGCCACCUGGGGAGUACGGUCGCAAGGCUGAAACUUAAGGGAAUUGGCGGGGGAGCACACAAGGGGUGGAGGCUACGGUUUAAUUCGAUUCAACGCGAGGAACCUUACCAGAAGCGACAGCAGAAUGAAGGUCAGGCUGAAGGUCUUACCAGACAAGCUGAGAGGUGUUGCAUGGCCGUCGCCAGUUCGUGCCGUGAGGUGUCCUGUUAAGUCAGGUAACGAACAAGACCCGCGCCCUAUGUUGCUAGGACAUUUUUAUGUCUGCACUCAUAGGGAACCGCUGGUGAUAAGCCAGAGGAAGGUGCGGUCGACGGCAGGUCAGUAUGGCCUGAAUCUUCUGGGUUACACGCGGCCUACAAUGGACGGAAUAAUGGGACGCGACCCCGAAAGGGGGAGCUAAUCUUUAAAUCCGUUCCCAAUCCGAAUUGAGGGCUGCAACCCGCCCUCAUGAAGUCGAAAUCCCUAGUAGUCGCUGGUCAUCAUCUAGCGGCGAAUAAGUUCUUGCUCCUUGCACACACUGCCCGUCAAGCCAUCCGAGUGGAGUUUCGGUGAUGCUUUGGUUUUUGCCAGAGUCGAGCCGCGGUUCCGCAAGGAGGGCUAAGUCGUAACAAGGUA
rnacentral:rRNA from 1 species